ACUAUUUUGGCAGAAAAGUGCGGUGGAUUUAGAAUCUAUAAAUGUGGGAUUAACCUAUGAAUAGUA
rnacentral:tRNA from 1 species